AGAGUUUGAUCCUGGCUCAGGAUGAACGCUGGCGGCGUGCUUAACACAUGCAAGUCGAACGAUUAAGACGGCUUCGGCCGUGUAUAGAGUGGCGAACGGGUGAGUAACACGUGACCAACCUGCCCCGCGCUCCGGGACAACCGCUGGAAACGGCGGCUAAUACCGGAUGCUCCGGGGAGGCCCCAUGGCCUCCCCGGGAAAGCCUUGACGGCGCGGGAUGGGGUCGCGGCCCAUUAGGUAGACGGCGGGGUAACGGCCCACCGUGCCCGCGAUGGGUAGCCGGACUGAGAGGUCGACCGGCCACAUUGGGACUGAGAUACGGCCCAGACUCCUACGGGAGGCAGCAGUGGGGAAUUUUGCGCAAUGGGGGGAACCCUGACGCAGCAACGCCGCGUGCGGGACGAAGGCCUUCGGGUUGUAAACCGCUUUCAGCAGGGAAGACAUAGACGGUACCUGCAGAAGAAGCUCCGGCUAACUACGUGCCAGCAGCCGCGGUAAUACGUAGGGGGCGAGCGUUAUCCGGAUUCAUUGGGCGUAAAGCGCGCGUAGGCGGCCGCCUAAGCGGAACCUCUAAUCCCGGGGCUCAACCUCGGGCCGGGUUCCGGACUGGGCGGCUCGAGUGCGGUAGAGGCAGGCGGAAUUCCCGGUGUAGCGGUGGAAUGCGCAGAUAUCGGGAAGAACACCGAUGGCGAAGGCAGCCUGCUGGGCCGCCACUGACGCUGAGGCGCGAAAGCUGGGGGAGCGAACAGGAUUAGAUACCCUGGUAGUCCCAGCCGUAAACGAUGGACGCUAGGUGUGGGGGGACCAUCCCCCCGUGCCGCAGCCAACGCAUUAAGCGUCCCGCCUGGGGAGUACGGCCGCAAGGCUAAAACUCAAAGGAAUUGACGGGGGCCC
rnacentral:rRNA from 1 species